rnacentral:rRNA from 1 species
UAGGGAAUCUUCCGCAAUGGGCGAAAGCCUGACGGAGCAACGCCGCGUGAGUGAUGAAGGUCUUCGGAUCGUAAAACUCUGUUAUUAGGGAAGAACAAAUGUGUAAGUAACUAUGCACGUCUUGACGAUACCUAAUCAGAAAGCCACGGCUAACUACGUGCCAGCAGCCGCGGUAAUACGUAGGUGGCAAGCGUUAUCCGGAAUUAUUGGGCGUAAAGCGCGCGUAGGCGGUUUUUUAAGUCUGAUGUGAAAGCCCACGGCUCAACCGUGGAGGGUCAUUGGAAACUGGAAAACUUGAGUGCAGAAGAGGAAAGUGGAAUUCCAUGUGUAGCGGUGAAAUGCGCAGAGAUAUGGAGGAACACCAGUGGCGAAGGCGACUUUCUGGUCUGUAACUGACGCUGAUGUGCGAAAGCGUGGGGAUCAAACAGG